UAAAAUACAAAAUAAAGGACUAAAAUAAGAAGGGGUCUUAGUGGCUCCUAUGGUCAUAACAUGAGACAGCACUAACACAUCUGGGACCAGGCUAGCUCUGGGUGUUUACAAAUCACCUCUAAAUAAACAGGUCAUAUAUCUGUAGCAGUGAGCAGCUAUAAUAACAGGUAAUAUAUCUGUAGCAGUGAGCAGCUAUAAUAACAGGUAAUAUAUCUGUAGCAGUGAGCAGCUAUAAUAACAGGUAAUAUAUCUGUAGCAGUGAGCAGCUAUAAUAACAGGUAAUAUAUCUGUAGCAGUGAGCAGCUAUAAUAAGAGGUAAUAUAUCUGUAGCAGUGAGCAGCUAUAAUAACAGGUAAUAUAUCUGUAGCAGUGUAGCAGUAGCAGUGUAGCAGUGAACAGCUAUAAUAACAGGUAAUAUAUCUGUAGCAGUGAGCAGCUAUAAUAACAGGUAAUAUAUCUGUAGCAGUGAGCAGCUAUAAUAACAGGUAAUAUAUCUGUAGCAGUGUAGCAGUAGCAGUGUAGCAGUGAACAGCUAUAAUAACAGGUAAUAUAUCUGUAGCAGUGAGCAGCUAUAAUAACAGGUAAUAUAUCUGUAGCAGUGUAGCAGUGAGUAGCUAACAGGUAAUAUAUAUGUAGCAGUGAGCAGCUAACAGGUAAUAUAUCUGUAGCAGUGAGCAGCUAUAAUAACAGGUAAUAUAUCUGUAGCAGUGUAGCAGUGAGCAGCUAUAAUAACAGGUAAUAUAUAUGUAGCAGUGAGCAGCUAACAGGUAAUAUAUCUGUAGCAGUGAGCAGCUAACAGGUAAUAUAUCUGUAGCAGUGAGCAGCUAUAAUAACAGGUAAUAUAUCUGUAGCAGUGAGCAGCUAUAAUAACAGGUAAUAUAUCUGUAGCAGUGAGCAGCUAUAAUAACAGGUAAUAUAUCUGUAGCAGUGUAGCAGUGAGUAGCUAACAGGUAAUAUAUAUGUAGCAGUGUAGCAGUGAGUAGCUAACAGGUAAUAUAUCUGUAGCAGUGUAGCAGCUAACAGGUAAUAUAUCUGUAGCAGUGUAGCAGUGAGUAGCUAUAAUAACAGGUAAUAUAUAUGUAGCAGUGAGCAGCUAUAAUAACAGGUAAUAUAUCUGUAGCAGUGAGCAGCUAUAAUAACAGGUAAUAUAUCUGUAGCAGUGAGCAGCUAUAAUAACAGGUAAUAUAUAUGUAGCAGUGAGUAGCUAACAGGUAAUAUAUCUGUAGCAGUGAGUAGCUAACAGGUAAUUUAUAUAUAUGUAGCAGUGUAGCAGUGAGUAGCUAACAGGUAAUAUAUAUGUAGCAGUGUAGCAGUGAGCAGCUAUAAUAACAGGUAAUAUAUAUGUAGCAGUGAGCAGCUAUAAUAACAGGUAAUAUAUCUGUAGCAGUGAGCAGCUAUAAUAACAGGUAAUAUAUCUGUAGCAGUGUAGCAGUGAGUAGCUAACAGGUAAUAUAUCUGUAGCAGUGAGCAGCUAACAGGUAAUAUAUCUGUAGCAGUGAGCAGCUAUAAUAACAGGUAAUAUAUAUGUAGCAGUGUAGCAGUGAGUAGCUAACAGGUAAUAUAUCUGUAGCAGUGUAGCAGUGAGCAGCUAUAAUAACAGGUAAUAUAUAUGUAGCAGUGUAGCAGUGAGCAGCUAUAAUAACAGGUACUAUAUCUGUAUCAGUGUAGCAGUGAGUAGCUAACAGGUAAUAUAUAUGUAGCAGUGUAGCAGUGAGUAGCUAACAGGUAAUAUAUCUGUAGCAGUGAGCAGCUAUAAUAACAGGUAAUAUAUCUGUAGCAGUGAGCAGCUAUAAUAACAGGUAAUAUAUCUGUAGCAGUGAGCAGCUAUAAUAACAGGUAAUAUAUCUGUAGCAGUGAGUAGCUAACAGGUAAUAUAUAUGUAGCAGUGAGCAGCUAACAGGUAAUAUAUCUGUAGCAGUGAGCAGCUAACAGGUAAUAUAUCUGUAGCAGUGAGCAGCUAUAAUAACAGGUACUAUAUCUGUAGCAGUGUAGCAGUGAGUAGCUAACAGGUAAUAUAUAUGUAGCAGUGUAGCAGUGAGUAGCUAACAGGUAAUAUAUCUGUAGCAGUGUAGCAGUGAGCAGCUAUAAUAACAGGUAAUAUAUAUGUAGCAGUGUAGCAGUGAGCAGCUAUAAUAACAGGUAAUAUAUAUGUAGCAGUGUAGCAGUGAGUAGCUAACAGGUAAUAUAUAUGUAGCAGUGAGCAGCUAACAGGUAAUAUAUCUGUAGCAGUGAGCAGCUAACAGGUAAUAUAUCUGUAGCAGUGUAGCAGUGAGCAGCUAACAGGUAAUAUAUAUGUAGCAGUGUAUCAGUGAGUAGCUAACAGGUAAUAUAUAUGUAGCAGUGUAGCAGUGAGCAGCUAACAGGUAAUAUAUAUGUAGCAGUGUAGCAGCUAACAGGUAAUAUAUCUGUAGCAGUGAGUAGCUAACAGGUAAUAUAUAUGUAGCAGUGUAGCAGCUAACAGGUAAUAUAUAUGUAGCAGUGUAGCAGUGAGAAGCUAACAGGUAAUAUAUAUGUAGCAGUGUAGCAGUGAGCAGCUAACAGGUAAUAUAUCUGUAGCAGUGAGCAGCUAACAGGUAAUAUAUCUGUAGCAGUGUAGCAGUGAGCAGCUAACAGGUAAUAUAUAUGUAGCAGUGUAGCAGUGAGCAGCUAACAGGUAAUAUAUAUGUAGCAGUGUAGCAGUGAGAAGCUAACAGGUAAUAUAUAUGUAGCAGUGUAGCAGCUAACAGGUAAUAUAUAUGUAGCAGUGAGCAGCUAACAGGUAAUAUAUAUGUAGCAGUGUAGCAGUGAGAAGCUAACAGGUAAUAUAUAUGUAGCAGUGUAGCAGCUAACAGGUAAUAUAUAUGCAGCAGUGUAGCAGUGAGCAGCUAACAGGUAAUAUAUAUGUAGCAGUGUAGCAGUGAGCAGCUAACAGGUAAUAUAUAUGUAGCAGUGUAGCAGUGAGCAGCUAACAGGUAAUAUAUAUGUAGCAGUGUAGCAGCUAACAGGUAAUAUAUAUGUAGCAGUAUAGCAGUGAGCAGCUAACAGGUAAUAUAUAUGUAGCAGUGUAGCAGUGAGCAGCUAACAGGUAAUAUAUAUGUAGCAGUGUAGCAGCUAACAGGUAAUAUAUAUGUAGCAGUGUAGCAGCUAACAGGUAGGUCUGCAUCCGAAAUGGGACCCUAUUCCCUACAUUUCGGACGCAGCCAGGUCUCUGACAGGAGUUUAAGGCC